rnacentral:tRNA from 1 species
GGGGCUGCAGCUCAGUGGUAGAGUACCUGCUUCACACGUUGGAGGCACUGGGUUCAAUCCUCAGCACCA